GACGAACGCUGGCGGCGUGCUUAACACAUGCAAGUCGAACGGAAAGGCCCUGCUUUUGUGGGGUGCUCGAGUGGCGAACGGGUGAGUAACACGUGAGUAACCUGCCCUUGACUUUGGGAUAACUUCAGGAAACUGGGGCUAAUACCGGAUAGGAGCUCCUGCUGCAUGGUGGGGGUUGGAGAGUUUCGGCGGUUGGGGAUGGACUCGCGGCUUAUCAGCUUGUUGGUGGGGUAGUGGCUUACCAAGGCUUUGACGGGUAGCCGGCCUGAGAGGGUGACCGGCCACAUUGGGACUGAGAUACGGCCCAGACUCCUACGGGAGGCAGCAGUGGGGAAUAUUGCACAAUGGGCGGAAGCCUGAUGCAGCAACGCCGCGUGCGGGAUGACGGCCUUCGGGUUGUAAACCGCUUUCGCCUGUGACGAAGCGUGAGUGACGGUAAUGGGUAAAGAAGCACCGGCUAACUACGUGCCAGCAGCCGCGGUGAUACGUAGGGUGCGAGCGUUGUCCGGAUUUAUUGGGCGUAAAGGGCUCGUAGGUGGUUGAUCGCGUCGGAAGUGUAAUCUUGGGGCUUAACCCUAAGCGUGCUUUCGAUACGGGUUGACUUGAGGAAGGUAGGGGAGAAUGGAAUUCCUGGUGGAGCGGUGGAAUGCGCAGAUAUCAGGAGGAACACCAGUGGCGAAGGCGGUUCUCUGGGCCUUUCCUGACGCUGAGGAGCGAAAGCGUGGGGAGCGAACAGGCUUAGAUACCCUGGUAGUCCACGCUGUAAACGGUGGGUACUAGGUGUGGGGUCCAUUCCACGGGUUCCGUGCCGUAGCUAACGCUUUAAGUACCCCGCCUGGGGAGUACGGCCGCAAGGCUAAAACUCAAAGGAAUUGACGGGGCCCCGCACAAGCGUCGGAGCAUGCGGAUUAAUUCGAUGCAACGCGUAGAACCUUACCUGGGUUUGACAUGGAUCGGGAGUGCUCAGAGAUGGGUGUGCCUCUUUUGGGGUCGGUUCACAGGUGGUGCAUGGCUGUCGUCAGCUCGUGUCGUGAGAUGUUGGGUUAAGUCCCGCAACGAGCGCAACCCUUGUUCACUGUUGCCAGCACGUUAUGGUGGGGACUCAGUGGAGACCGCCGGGGUCAACUCGGAGGAAGGUGGGGAUGACGUCAAGUCAUCAUGCCCCUUAUGUCCAGGGCUUCACGCAUGCUACAAUGGCUGGUACAGAGAGUGGCGAGCCUGUGAGGGUGAGCGAAUCUCGGAAAGCCGGUCUCAGUUCGGAUUGGGGUCUGCAACUCGACCUCAUGAAGUCGGAGUCGCUAGUAAUCGCAGAUCAGCAACGCUGCGGUGAAUACGUUCCCGGGGCU
rnacentral:rRNA from 1 species